ACCCGGAUUAUCAUUAUAAUUCCCUUACCCACAUCAGAAUACAGGUAAACAAAAUAAAAGUCUUUAGAAAAUAAGAAAAUAAAAGACACAAAAAAAGAAGAAAUACAUUUAUAAAUCUAGUGUUACCAUUUAACUCCGGCACACUAGCACUAAUUUAGCUAAAUGUAAAUUUUUUCAAGUAUUGCUUGUCGGUCUGUUAGCUAGCUACAGCUAAUUAGCUUGACAAUUGUUUUCUUCUUCGCUAGCAACCGUUGGUAUUGUCAACGGAAACCGACCUAGGCGACACAGGACACUGCAACAGAUUUAUUGUCAGGAUAAAUCCUGAGCAAAGCAAGUGUUCUUCCAAGGUCCAGCUGAGCAGAAGGACUGGCAGGAUGGUGCAACGAAAAAAUGAAUCCCUCAAUCCACACGUGGCAUCGUUUAUCAGAGGCUUUAUCGAGUAUGACUGGCAGAACAACUGAUAUCAGGGAAGAAGAUUCCAGCCCUAGAAGACAUAUUCAGUAUAGGAAGAAACGGCGCAGGAAUCAUAUAUGUCAUUGGGACCAGUAAAGUCAGUCUUGAACAGUUUAUUGGUUGAAUAUUGAAAUGUUUUCGUACAAAUGCAUUUUUCUACAAUUCUUCUUUUAACUGAACAUUUUACUUACUUGGAAUUUUUGUAUUUGUAAAAAAACAAACAAACAAACAAAAAACAAAACCUGAAAUAUGUGAUAGUUGUCUAUAUGGUGAUGCUUUUGUGUGUUUUAUUGUUAAUUUUAUUAUAUUAUCAAUUAACUUUACAGGAUACAGUGACUGCACAUACAAACCAAUGUCUGAAAAGGGAAAUGUAAAAAGUACAAAAAAGUAUUUUUUUUUAAUUAUCUGUAUAAGCAUUGAAGUGUUACAAAAUAAUUCUUGGCCUUGGUGUUAAAAUUGGUUUACCUGAAGAGAAAGGGUUGUUUGGGAAAAUAGUGUUUUUUACAAAGUAAAACUUUUUGUAAACUGCUUUAAAAAAAUAAAUGAAAUGUUUUACGACA
rnacentral:lncRNA from 1 species